rnacentral:rRNA from 1 species
UACGUAGGGGGCAAGCGUUGUCCGGAAUCAUUGGGCGUAAAGCGCGCGUAGGCGGCCCGAUCAGUCCGCUGUAAAAGUCCAGGGCUCAACCCUGGAAAGCCGAUGGAUACUGCAGGACUAGAGUACGGAAGAGGCGAGUGGAAUUCCUGGUGUAGCGGUGGAAUGCGCAGAUAUCAGGAGGAACACCAAUAGCGAAGGCAGCUCGCUGGGACGUUACUGACACUGAGGCGCGAAAGCGUGGGGGGAGCGAACAGG